UUUCUGAUACAUAGCACUAUAGAUAAAACUUCCUUUUUCACAGUGCUGUAAUUCCUUUGAGCAGCAUUCCAGAUGCCAGAAGUAAAACGAACUAAUUGUUCAGAGGAGUUAUCAGUUAUCCUUUGUUUAAGGAUUCCACCAUAGCCUAUGUCUGACGCAUCAGUUUCUACAAUCAUGAAAGCUUCAGGAUUGGGGAUGGGCCGGCCGGUCCGCUUAUAGUGUGCACCGAUCGUCUCGUCCCUUCUAUCGGCGAUGCGCUCCUGGCCUUAACUGGCCGGGUCGUGCCUCCGGCGCUGUUACUUUGAAGAAAUUAGAGUGCUCAAAGCAAGCCUACGCUCUGUAUACAUUAGCAUGGGAUAACAUUAUAGGAUUUUCGUUCCUAUUACGUUGGCCUUCGGGAUCGGAGUAAUGAUUAACAGGGACAGUCGGGGGCAUUCGUAUUUCAUAGUAAGAUGUAAAAUUCCUGGAUUUAUGAAAGACGAAGAACUGCGAAAGCAUUGCCAAGGAUGUUUUCAUUAAUCAAGAACGAAAGUUGGGGGCUCGAAGGAGAUCAGAUACCGUCCUAGUCUCAACCAUAAAUGAUGCCGACCAGGGAUCAGCGGAUGUUGAUUUUAGGACUCCACCGACACCUUAUGAGAAAUCAAAGUUUUUGGGUUCCGGGGGGAGUAUGGUCGCAAGGCUGAAACUUAAAGGAAUUGACGGAAGGGCACCACCAGGAGUGGAGCCUGCGGCUUAAUUUGACUCAACACGGGGAAACUUACCAGGUCCAGACAUAGUAAGGAUUGAUAGACUGAGAGCUCUUUCUUGAUUCAAUGGGUGGUGGUGCAUGGCCGUUCUUAGUUGGUGGAGCGAUUUGUAUGGUUAAUUCCGUUAACGAACGAGACCUCAUCCUGCUAACUAACUAUGCAGAGGUAUCCCUUCGCGGCCAGCUUCUUAGAGGGACUACGACCUUUUAGACCGCGGAAGUUUGAGGCAAUAACAGGUCUGUGAUACCCUUAGAUGUUCUGGGCCGCACGCGCACUGCACUGAUGUAUUCAACGAGUUUAAAGCCUUGGCCGAUAGGCUCGGGUAAUAUUUGAAAUUUCAUCGUGAUGGGCAUAGAUCAUUGAAAUUGUUGGUCGUCAACGAGGAAUUCCAAGUAAGCGCGAGUCAUUAGCUCGCGUUGACUACAUCCCUAACCUUUGUACACACCGCCCGUUGCUCCUACCGAUUGAAUGAUCCGGUGAAAUGAUCGGAUCGCGUCGACGUGGGCGGUUCGAUGCCCGCGACGUCGCGAGAAGUCCAUUGAACCUUAUCAUUUAGAGGAAGGAGAAGUCGUAACAAGGUUUCCGUAGGUGAACCUGCGGAAG
rnacentral:rRNA from 1 species